UUAAGCGACUAAGCGUACACGGUGGAUGCCCUGGCAGUCAGAGGCGAUGAAGGACGUGCUAAUCUGCGAUAAGCGUCGGUAAGGUGAUAUGAACCGUUAUAACCGGCGAUUUCCGAAUGGGGAAACCCAGUGUGUUUCGACACACUAUCAUUAACUGAAUCCAUAGGUUAAUGAGGCGAACCGGGGGAACUGAAACAUCUAAGUACCCCGAGGAAAAGAAAUCAACCGAGAUUCCCCCAGUAGCGGCGAGCGAACGGGGAGCAGCCCAGAGCCUGAAUCAGUGUGUGUGUUAGUGGAAGCGUCUGGAAAGACGCGCGAUACAGGGUGACAGCCCCGUACACAAAAAUGCACAUGCUGUGAGCUCGAUGAGUAGGGCGGGACACGUGGUAUCCUGUCUGAAUAUGGGGGGACCAUCCUCCAAGGCUAAAUACUCCUGACUGACCGAUAGUGAACCAGUACCGUGAGGGAAAGGCGAAAAGAACCCCGGCGAGGGGAGUGAAAAAGAACCUGAAACCGUGUACGUACAAGCAGUGGGAGCACGCUUAGGCGUGUGACUGCGUACCUUUUGUAUAAUGGGUCAGCGACUUAUAUUCUGUAGCAAGGUUAACCGAAUAGGGGAGCCGAAGGGAAACCGAGUCUUAACUGGGCGUUAAGUUGCAGGGUAUAGACCCGAAACCCGGUGAUCUAGCCAUGGGCAGGUUGAAGGUUGGGUAACACUAACUGGAGGACCGAACCGACUAAUGUUGAAAAAUUAGCGGAUGACUUGUGGCUGGGGGUGAAAGGCCAAUCAAACCGGGAGAUAGCUGGUUCUCCCCGAAAGCUAUUUAGGUAGCGCCUCGUGAAUUCAUCUCCGGGGGUAGAGCACUGUUUCGGCAAGGGGGUCAUCCCGACUUACCAACCCGAUGCAAACUGCGAAUACCGGAGAAUGUUAUCACGGGAGACACACGGCGGGUGCUAACGUCCGUCGUGAAGAGGGAAACAACCCAGACCGCCAGCUAAGGUCCCAAAGUCAUGGUUAAGUGGGAAACGAUGUGGGAAGGCCCAGACAGCCAGGAUGUUGGCUUAGAAGCAGCCAUCAUUUAAAGAAAGCGUAAUAGCUCACUGGUCGAGUCGGCCUGCGCGGAAGAUGUAACGGGGCUAAACCAUGCACCGAAGCUGCGGCAGCGACGCUGAUGCGUUGUUGGGUAGGGGAGCGUUCUGUAAGCCUGUGAAGGUGUGCUGUGAGGCAUGCUGGAGGUAUCAGAAGUGCGAAUGCUGACAUAAGUAACGAUAAAGCGGGUGAAAAGCCCGCUCGCCGGAAGACCAAGGGUUCCUGUCCAACGUUAAUCGGGGCAGGGUGAGUCGACCCCUAAGGCGAGGCCGAAAGGCGUAGUCGAUGGGAAACAGGUUAAUAUUCCUGUACUUGGUGUUACUGCGAAGGGGGGACGGAGAAGGCUAUGUUGGCCGGGCGACGGUUGUCCCGGUUUAAGCGUGUAGGCUGGUUUUCCAGGCAAAUCCGGAAAAUCAAGGCUGAGGCGUGAUGACGAGGCACUACGGUGCUGAAGCAACAAAUGCCCUGCUUCCAGGAAAAGCCUCUAAGCAUCAGGUAACAUCAAAUCGUACCCCAAACCGACACAGGUGGUCAGGUAGAGAAUACCAAGGCGCUUGAGAGAACUCGGGUGAAGGAACUAGGCAAAAUGGUGCCGUAACUUCGGGAGAAGGCACGCUGAUAUGUAGGUGAAGUCCCUCGCGGAUGGAGCUGAAAUCAGUCGAAGAUACCAGCUGGCUGCAACUGUUUAUUAAAAACACAGCACUGUGCAAACACGAAAGUGGACGUAUACGGUGUGACGCCUGCCCGGUGCCGGAAGGUUAAUUGAUGGGGUUAGCCGCAAGGCGAAGCUCUUGAUCGAAGCCCCGGUAAACGGCGGCCGUAACUAUAACGGUCCUAAGGUAGCGAAAUUCCUUGUCGGGUAAGUUCCGACCUGCACGAAUGGCGUAAUGAUGGCCAGGCUGUCUCCACCCGAGACUCAGUGAAAUUGAACUCGCUGUGAAGAUGCAGUGUACCCGCGGCAAGACGGAAAGACCCCGUGAACCUUUACUAUAGCUUGACACUGAACAUUGAGCCUUGAUGUGUAGGAUAGGUGGGAGGCUUUGAAGUGUGGACGCCAGUCUGCAUGGAGCCGACCUUGAAAUACCACCCUUUAAUGUUUGAUGUUCUAACGUUGACCCGUAAUCCGGGUUGCGGACAGUGUCUGGUGGGUAGUUUGACUGGGGCGGUCUCCUCCUAAAGAGUAACGGAGGAGCACGAAGGUUGGCUAAUCCUGGUCGGACAUCAGGAGGUUAGUGCAAUGGCAUAAGCCAGCUUGACUGCGAGCGUGACGGCGCGAGCAGGUGCGAAAGCAGGUCAUAGUGAUCCGGUGGUUCUGAAUGGAAGGGCCAUCGCUCAACGGAUAAAAGGUACUCCGGGGAUAACAGGCUGAUACCGCCCAAGAGUUCAUAUCGACGGCGGUGUUUGGCACCUCGAUGUCGGCUCAUCACAUCCUGGGGCUGAAGUAGGUCCCAAGGGUAUGGCUGUUCGCCAUUUAAAGUGGUACGCGAGCUGGGUUUAGAACGUCGUGAGACAGUUCGGUCCCUAUCUGCCGUGGGCGCUGGAGAACUGAGGGGGGCUGCUCCUAGUACGAGAGGACCGGAGUGGACGCAUCACUGGUGUUCGGGUUGUCAUGCCAAUGGCACUGCCCGGUAGCUAAAUGCGGAAGAGAUAAGUGCUGAAAGCAUCUAAGCACGAAACUUGCCCCGAGAUGAGUUCUCCCUGACUCCUUGAGAGUCCUGAAGGAACGUUGAAGACGACGACGUUGAUAGGCCGGGUGUGUAAGCGCAGCGAUGCGUUGAGCUAACCGGUACUAAUGAACCGUGAGGCUUAACCUU
rnacentral:rRNA from 2 species